rnacentral:tRNA from 1 species
UCCCUGGUGGCUCAGAGGUUAAAGCGUCUGCCUGCAAUGCGGGAGACCUGGGUUCGAUCCUUGGCUCGGGAA